rnacentral:lncRNA from 1 species
AGAAGGACCAGCAGCCUCAUUCUGUAAGUUGGGAGUCCCACCAAUGCACACACACACCUCCUAUAUGUGAGGGGCUGUGACUACAUCAGCUGGCCUGGGUUCACUGUCUGGCGCCUUAUAAACAUUAAGCAGUGAAGGGCGCAUGGAGAACUGAGACACCAAUCCUCGGAAUAUGGCGUCACCAGCAGAAGACCACCACCUCACCCACCUAAGAUUCACGUGCCCAGCCACCGCCCACCACACGAGUUUUCACCGAGCCACAGUGGUGCUAUACAAACUUCGGGAGAAUCAAAAGGGUGGACUUGGAGUGGUGCACGUGACGCUUCGAUCUAACAACCCCACUGAUAUGCAGUGUACUACAGUAAGUGAACUCCUCAUCGGGACGCAGCGCCAGGUCUGUCUCCUGUAUGACGCACUGCCUAACAUUGCCCGCGCUAUGGAAAUUUAUUGAGUUGUGAUGUCGCAACGAGGUCAUAUGGUGCCGGAUGAAGGAAAGUGUCGUGAAUCAGGAUGGAAUUCGCAGCAUUUCCAUCGUGCACAACGGCCAUUAUCGAUGCCAUACUAGCAACAAUAAUAAAUAAUGAAUGAAUA